AUAAAAAACAUGGCCCCUUCUCUCAAAAAGCUCACAUUCUAAUGGGGGAAACAAGAUGCAGAUAACAAGACGCAUACAAGAUCAAAGGCCACACCUAUUUGUACCUCUUCUCUUUGAUCUCUUAUCUCUUCUGGUUGAAGAACAAGUCUGAAGCACCAUGGACUAAACUUUGAAGUACCUCAGCUACAGAUGGAUCAAUGUUUUCAUGGAACAAAACUGCAGAAUGGGUAGCCAUAUAAAAGGAGAGAAAGGAAGACGAUUGAGAAAAAUGUGUGAUGUGGCCUCAUAAUGUCAAUGGUGAGCAAUGAAGUGAAAAUUAUUCUUGUAAUCUCUCAAGAGACCCUACAGGAGUACAGGAGAUACCCUGUUUUCCAGAGCUAAGGCCCAGCAAGUAAGUCGUGCCCUGAGCUUGGCACAACCACAAUCCUUUGUGCUCACCUUCUGGAUGAACUCAGCCACAACAAAACCCCAGAACUGUUUCACACCAGCACCAGGUGGUUUCUAAGCUUGGACAAGCACCUGUAGUAUCUGUGUUCUGGUCAUGAAGUCCUGUUGUGAGUCAAACUUAUCUCUGUUCCUGUUACGCCUCAUUGUCAGGUCUACAUCUCACUGUAUUGGUAUAAGUACUGAGAUUUGCCUGCCCUAAAGCCAGUCUCCUCAUAGAGAGGGCCUCAGCACUGCCUACUUUCCCUCCU